rnacentral:rRNA from 1 species
CCUACGGGUGGCAGCAGUCGAGAAUCAUUCACAAUGGGGGAAACCCUGAUGGUGCGACGCCGCGUGGGGGAAUGAAGGUCUUCGGAUUGUAAACCCCUGUCAUGUGGGCGCAAAUUAAAACGAUCGUACCACAAUAGGAAGAGCCGGCUAACUCUGUGCCAGCAGCCGCGGUAAUACAGAGGUCUCAAUCGUUGUUCGGAAUCACUGGGCGUAAAGCGUGCGUAGUCUGUUUCGUAAGUCUUGUGUGAAAGGCGCGGGCGCAACCCGCGGACGGCACCUGAUACUGCGAGAAGCGAGUAAAGGCGGGGGAACCGGAAGUCUCGGUGGAGCAGUGAAAUGAGUUGAUAUCGAGAGGAACACUGGUGGCGAAGGCGGGUUACGGGACAGUAACUGACGGUGAGGCACGAAGGCCAGGGGAGCGAAAGGGAUUAGAUACCCGGGUAGUC